AGAUGACUAUUUUUGGUUUCUUUUGGACAAAUGGACAAAUCUAUAGUGCAACACCUCCCCUUCUACUGCAUGGCCUGCAGUGGUGUACUAAGAUUCGUCAUGGAAAGUGGUAACAAGGGUUGUUAGGUUCUCUUGAUAUCCUGGUUACUUUGGAGCUUACACCUUAGUGAGAGGCAUG